CGCAGUGGCUUACAUCUGUAAUCUCAGCACUUUGGGAGACUGAGGGAAAAUUAAUUCCAGUUGGUGUUCUGGGCAGAAAUGAAGAGGAGGAGGAAGAAGACAAAGCAGCUUCUCCCCUUUCCUUUGCACUGAGGGCAGGCCCACGCCACUUUCUCUGGUGUGGCCACACCAUCGUCCACACGGCUUUCCUAAGAGUGUGAGAAAAUUAAGAGUUUAGAAGAGAAAGGAAUUUUCUUUCUUGAAAAAUCUAGAACUGAAAAGCAGAGGCCCAGGGAGGCUGAAAGACUUUUCUGAAAUCAUCCAGGGAGGAGCAAAGCCAGCCCUGAAUCCCAGGUCUCCAAAUGAUUAAUCCAGAACGCCUUCCACUUCUCUUUUCUGCCACAUGGCCUUAAAACAGAAGACAACCCAGAUGGGACAAACUAGACUGAAUAAAUAUUCAUAAUAUUCUAAUAUUCAUAAUAAGAGCAGUGCCCCCAGACUGAACGUAUCCCAUGUAGUUCGGGGAGGAUGAUAUCUCCUGACAAUGGCAUCUCUACCUCACAUCUUCCUUCACCACUC
rnacentral:lncRNA from 10 species